GAUGAACGCUAGCGACAGGCCUAACACAUGCAAGUCGAGGGGUAACUAGAGUGAUAGCAAUAUUACUUUGGCUAGACCGGCGCACGGGUGCGUAACACGUAUGCAACCUACCUUAUACUGGGGAAUAACUUCGAGAAAUCGGCGCUAAUACCCCAUACCAUUGCGAAGAGGCAUCUCUUUGCAAUUAAAGCUCCGGCGGUAUAAGAUGGGCAUGCGUCCAAUUAGCUAGUUGGUGAGGUAAGGGCUGACCAAGGCUACGAUUGGUAGGGGUUCUGAGAGGAUGAUCCCCCACACUGGUACUGAGACACGGACCAGACUCCUACGGGAGGCAGCAGUGGGGAAUAUUGCGCAAUGGACGAAAGUCUGACGCAGCCAUGCCGCGUGCAGGAUGACGGCCCUAUGGGUUGUAAACUGCUUUUGUACGGGAAUAAACCCUUCCACGUGUAGGAGGCCGAGGGUACCGUAAGAAUAAGCACCGGCUAACUCCGUGCCAGCCGCCGCCGUAACAC
rnacentral:rRNA from 1 species